rnacentral:lncRNA from 1 species
UAUUGAAUGGGUAUUCCCAUGUUGGAAUUGGCUGGAUUCCCAUUUGGGAGCCUGUGCAACUAUUUCAGAACUGAAGACUAUAGGGAAAAGACUGAUUUGUAGCCCUGGGCAGCCCCUGAUCAAUGGGCAUUCCCCUGGUUCAUGGAUAGUGGACAUCACUGGAUCUGGGUUGAGCACCAAAGAAGAGACAAUAGAACUUGCCCUAGUCUUUUAUGGACAUCUGAAUCACAAAAAGUUGGCACUUCACAUGACAGAAAAUGAAGCACAAAUCAAAGAUGAACUUGAGGGCCUUGGAUCACUUUAUAAGCUUCAGGUGUCAGGAACAUCCACCCGGCUGAACAAAUCUUGGCAUUUAGACACAGUGAACCUGAAGCAUACAGGUACUGCCCUGGAAAUGUGGUUGAUUUUUGACUGCUGGUUUAGACCGAAUGAAGAGGACUGUGUGGAACUUCCUACUUUGAUUUCAGGCCAAGACCCUCUCCCAGUUAUGGAAUACUCUGUCCAGAUACACACUGGAGAUGUGAAGAAUGCAGAUGCCGCUGGCCAGGCUUAUAUUUACAUAAAAGGAGAAAGAGGUGAUUCUGGGAAAAGAUGGCUUACCAAUUCAAGAAAUAGCUCAAUUGCUUUUUCCAGGGGACAGGUGGAGGUUUUCACAGUUAAAGCAGUGCACCUUGGUAAACUACAUCAGAUUAUUCUUGGAUUCCAGAGUUUGAAAAAAGAUAAUUGGUUUUUGGAUGAAGUUAUUAUAAAGGAAGGACACACCUCUGUCAUCACUCAUAUCUUUGCUCAUCAAAACUGGAUCAGCAAGCGUUCAGAAAAAGGAUUUAGUGAAGUUAUAAUUCCACUGAAAGGUAAUACCAGUUUUGUUAUUUGGAUGCCACUAUGCCAUUGCUCAAUCUAGAAAA